CCUACGGGAGGCAGCAGUGAGGAAUAUUGGUCAAUGGACGAGAGUCUGAACCAGCCAAGUAGCGUGCAGGAUGACGGCCCUAUGGGUUGUAAACUGCUUUUAUGCGGGGAUAAAGUGAGGGAUGCGUCCCUUAUUGCAGGUACCGCAUGAAUAAGGACCGGCUAAUUCCGUGCCAGCAGCCGCGGUAAU
rnacentral:rRNA from 1 species